UGGGGAAUCUUGCGCAAUGGGCGAAAGCCUGACGCAGCAACGCCGCGUGCGGGAUGAAGGCCUUCGGGCUGUAAACCUCUUUCAGCAGGGACGAACAUGACGGUACCUGCAGCAAACGCCCCGGCUAACUACGUGCCAGCAGCCGCGGUAUUACGUAGGGUGCAAGCGUUGUCCGGAAUUAUUGGGCGCAAAGAGCUCGUCGGCGGUUUGUGGCGUCUGCUGUGCAAUACCGACGCUCGACCUCGGACC
rnacentral:rRNA from 1 species